ensembl:lncRNA
ACGUUUUUUAAAUUACGUUUUUUUUUUGUUAAUUGAAGUAUUGGACAGUUCAGACAACUUAAACGAAAAUAAAAUCAACGUGCAAUUCAUGAUUCGUAUAUCAAACAGCUUGGGAUGUGCACUCUUUGGGCUGCUGGUCGUAUCUUAUCAGGAUGUCUCCUAAUGUCUCCUCAUGUCUUCUCAUGUCUCCUGAGGACUCCUAAUCUCUCCUCAGGACUCCCCAAUGACUUCUCAUCUCUCCUCAUGUCUCCUAAUGUCUCAUGUCUCCUGAUGUCUCCUGAGGACUCCUCAUGUCUCCUUGUGUCUUCUAAUGUCUCCCAAUGUCUCCUCAUGAUUGCUCAUGUUUCCUAAUGUCUCCUGAGGACUUCUCAUGUCUCCUUGUGUCUCCUAAUGUCGCCCCAUGACUCCUCAUGUCUCCUAAUGUCUCAUGUCUCCCCAUGUCUCCUCAUGACUGCUCAUGUUUCCUAAUGUCUCAUGUCUCCUCAUGUCUUCUCAUGAUUUUGUUUCAGCCAGGCUUUUCGCCCCCCCCAGGCAUCCUCCCCUGGUUCUGUUGGGGGAAGCAGAGUUUACAUACCACAAAUUCACAACAACACAAUAACACAAGGUAUAAUAUAAUUGUAAAAAAAAGCCAAAAAUUUGAUAAAGUCCGACUGAACUUUUUUUUUUACCAGGUAAAAAUUGCAUAUCGUUAUUGGGAAAGUAUUUAGUUAUAUAUAGUUGUAUCGAUUUAUACAUAUCUAUGUAUAGAUUUAUACAAAUCUAUACAACUGCAGGACACCCUGCGCUUUGUUUCAGCCUAAAAUGAUGUUUCUCCUUUUUUUUAUGAGGCGCAGUGCACCACCGUUAGAAUGACAGCAUCGGCAUCUCGAUUUCAUUUCCUCCAUCUCCUCCCUACCUCACCUGACCUCCCGGUGCCCCUCUCCCUCUCCCUCUUACGCAACAGGCCGAUUGCAGCCGGUGUGAAUGAAUAAGAAAUUGUGAAUGACUUAGCGGCCAUUCUUAAUCCUCGCUCAGUUUCCUUGAUGCCUUCGCAUCCUCCAUCUUUAUGUUUCCCCCUGUGAUCUCUCUCUGUAUCGUUUUUAGCUUCCCUUCUCUUCUUGCAUUUCUCUCUUUUUUCUCUCACCCAUCCGCUCAGCGUUGCAGCAGCAGAGGAGCUGUUGCCGUGCAGAUUAAGUGCUGUAAUCCUGAAGCGAAGGGAUGCGAUGACUGUCUGCAGAGGACCGGAUGUUCCUGGUUGCCCCACAUACACGGCAACAGCAGCGGUUUGUGGCUCCAUCCCACACACCCCCUUCCUUCAUCAUCAGCACCGCCACCCCUGUCAUCAUUGCUCCAUCUCUCAAGUUUCCGGGGGACAGGGGGGGGGGGUGCACAGCUGAGCCAACGGUGAGGUCACGGGAGGGAUUUCUGUGCUCAUUCAGGAAAACAGCAGCUGGAUGAAAGAGGGGGAAGGGAGGGAGGAGACGAGGGAGCGGGAGGGGAAAGCAUGGCGUCAUCGGAGGAGUUAAACCCAUUCAGAAAAACUGGCUUUGACAGAGAGGAGAGAGAGAGAGAGACGGGUUCACAGUACCGAGCUGUAAUAACAUAGUGGACUCUCCGUGGGGCAUUUUCAGCCAAGAAUAAUAUGAGAACAGGCGACAAAAGGGGACGUCAAUGUACACGAGGAGGCAAAGGAAACCUUAGUGCUGUGUUGAAGGAAUGAUGAGAAGCCCAGACUGCAUAUUGUGUGGAAGCCAACGUGGACUCCGUUGGGCUCCAGAGAACUGAAGAGGGGGACAGAGAGUAAAAAGAACUCUGCAUGUGCUCCGAGGACAGAAACAGGCCGUCCUGUUUUUGUUCAGAAACACACUGUACUACUUUGUCACUGAGAAAAAUGAGGCUUAGAAAAAUAACAGGAAAGGGUUUUGAAGAUUAUAUGGGGGGGCAACAGUGUCGCGUUGCAUCAGCGUCAGCCACAGAGUAACUCAGAAAAGAUUAUGAAAAGUCUAAAUGAAAAAGAUGAAAUGAAAUGAAACAAACAAACAAUGAACUACUUUUCAACAUGGGCUUAUUGGAAAAGGGGUGCGUUCUUUGUUCAUCUUUUUAAUGUUGCCUAAAUGGCUCCAUUGACCCAAAGCUCGCUGAUGUUUGGUAAGUGCCUGAAACAUCAGCGCUAACGGGGUCAGGGGAGGCCCGGGGCCCUUUAUGUGGACCAGUGCUUUGUCACAAGCACACAGACACACACUGUACUGCUGUUCAGGUCGGGCGGGGAGUCAGGAUGUGUGUGUGAGGGUGACGGGGUUAAAUGGAUUGUUCCCAUCGGCCCAUGUGUUUGAGUUUGUGUUCAGGCUUUUACAAACCAAUUGACAGGCGCUAACAUGAUGUAGCAGUUUACUCGUAUGCCACAGUAGAUUGUUCUAUACAACAGUUACAACAGACGGACCAAAGUCUCUCGAAUUACUAUAAAAGUUAAUCCACUAUCCCGCUCUUCGGCCCGUUGGCGGUUUGAGCCAUUUACCACUUCCGUGAAUGACCUCAUGCAGGAUCUACGUGGUCCAGAUCCAUGGGUCUAGGUGCGGGAUUACCUCGGAUAAUCUCAUGUUGCAGUAGUGACCUCAUGGGGUUAUGAAUAGAGAUUAGGAUUAAAGUCAUUAAUCCUGUGAAUGUACCUUCGUAAACCCCAACGGAUGCAUGUGUGAACUUGGUGAAGGAGAUUAGAAGGGACCCACACAAAGAGUGAAUUUACACUGCGAUCCUCAUACUUCUUAAGUAGUGCGGGAGAAGACACCUGGAGGGAGAGGCGACGUGGCUUAGUGAAAGGUGAGCUGCUGGAGGUGUUUUCCGUUUUAUUUACGUAACUCUGCAGUGCUGCAGGCGUUGCUCCCUUAAAGAUCCCAUGACGUUUUUAUGAAAAUAGACAUGAAAUAUGAGACUUCUACAUCAUUCAGCAUGCUUAAAACAGUUCACGCAGGUGGUAUUAGUCCAUUGGGGGAAACACCUGUGGGUGCACCACCACUGUGGUUCUCGAUGUUUCCGUUCCCUUAGACAGGUCCCGACUUGUUCGGAUGCAAUGCUUAACUGCUUCCUUUGUCUAGUCAGCAUAGUGCUUCUUCGUAGUGUGUUUUGUGAUUGUUUUCCAGCAGUUCAGGCGGUCUCAUCCUGGCUUUGGGUAUGCUUCCAUCUUGUGGACAAAAUAGCCUCGCAGCCUUUUAAUCCCUAAUAAAAGUUGAAACGGGUAUGGUUUGUAGUUGGUUCAAGAAGGUUAUUCUUCUGCAAGCCAGUCCGUGAUAGUAAAAGUGAUCCCAUGGCAACGGUGUCGCUAAGCAACUGUCACACACAUCAGUCUCUUUUGUCCUCACACAGUGACUCUGAACUGGACUCACACUGAUACACCAUCUGAUUACAAGCAGUUUUUAGUACAAGAUAGUUUCAUAUAUGUGAGGCAGAUAAUAUAAAUGUAUGUAAUAAUAUUAAGUGCUACUAAACCAUAAAUACAAAUUUUAUGCUAAUUUCCCUUCCACUACAUUUUAAAAGAAAAUACUGGACAGGCGCAUGCUUCUGUGUCUGCGUCUGCGUCGUUGUGUCGACGCACUCGUUUCAAUUCAUGGUUCUAAAAGUCUUGUGUGUGUUGCAGAGCAAUUCACCUCCAGAACAACAGGGGGAGUAACGUGUUUCUGUUGAAGACAACCUAGAGAGUCAUGUCUAUUUAUUUAUUUGUUCCCCUCGACCGGCAAACUAACGUUUGAGGAGAUCUCCCUCC